rnacentral:rRNA from 1 species
GACGAACGCUGGCGGCGUGCCUAAUACAUGCAAGUCGAACGCAGUGGGGACGGGUGAGUAACACGUGGGUAACCUCCCAUCAGAGGGGAUAACACUUGGAAACAGGUGCUAAACCGAUACUGAUGGAUGGACCCGCGGGUCAUUAGCUAGUUGGUGUGGUAACGGCUCACCAAGGCCACGAUGCAUAGGCGACCUGAGAGGGUGGUGAGCAACACUGGGACUGAGACACGGACCAGACUCGUACGGGAGGCAGGUGUAGGGAAUCUUCGGCAAUGGACGAAAGUCUGAGCGAGCAACGCGGCGUGAGUGAAGAGGGUUUUCGGAUCGUAGAGCGCUGUUGUUAGAGAAGCGGUAUCAAACCAGAAAGCCACGGCUAACUACGUGCCAGCAGCCGCGGUAAUAC